rnacentral:sRNA from 1 species
CCAUUGAGACCUGACCCCUGCGGUAACAGAGGGUGCACUCCACUGUGCCAGGAACACGAAGACUCAAACCACAUCUAAAAGACGACAGGUCACAUCAUAGAUGAAGAAACCAAAGUUCAGACCUUCCGAGAUCACAUGCCUAAGAUGUCGGAAACAGAAUGGAGCUCAGUGGGCAGCAAAGCCCUUGUGUACCAAAGGCCCUGAGUCCCAUCCACAGCCCUACAACCCAUCAGUCAGUAAAUUGGGAGUUUAAGAUGUGAAUGAGGGUUCAAAUGGUCUUCCUUUGGCCUGAAAGCAAGCCCAGAAAUCUUUGUUUUAAAUGUGUAUCUUUGGGGUUGGGGAUUUAGCUCAGUGGUAGAGCACUUGCCUAGGAAAUGCAAGGCCCUGGGUUCGGUCCCCAGCUCCGAAAAAAAGAACCAAAAAAAAAAAAUGUGUAUCUUUGACAGUAAACAAUAUCCUCUACUAUUUCUGCCUACAUUUUAUUCUGUAUAGUGCAUUGUGCCACAUUACUUGUUGACUGAAUAAAUGAAUUUUAUCAAACUCA